rnacentral:rRNA from 1 species
GGAAAAGAAACCAACAGGGAUUGCCUCAGUAACGGCGAGUGAAGCGGCAAAAGCUCAAAUUUUAAAGCUGGCAUCUUCGGUGUCCGCGUUGUAAUUUUGUGAGGCAUCUCCGGGUAGGGCGCCGGCCUAAGUUCCUUGGAACAGGACGUCACAGAGGGUGAGAAUCCCGUGCUUGGCUGGCUGUCCCCGUCCAUGUGAGGUGUCUUCGACGAGUCGAGUUGUUUGGGAAUGCAGCUCAAAAUGGGUGGUAAAUUUCAUCUAAAGCUAAAUAUUGGUGGGAGACCGAUAGCGCACAAGUAGAGUGAUCGAAAGAUGAAAAGCACUUUGAAAAUAGAGUUAAAAAGUACGUGAAAUUGUUGAAAGGGAAGCGCUUGAGACCAGACUUCGGUAGGGGGUGAUCAGCCGUGCUUCGGUGCGGUGCACUUGUUCCUCUCUGGGCCAGCAUCGGUUGAGGCGGCGGGAUAAAGGUCCCGGGAAUGUGGCUCCUUCACGGGAGUGUUAUAGCCCGGGUGAAUGCCGCCAGCUUCGACCGAGGACCGCGCCCGCAAGGGUUAGGAUGCUUGGCAUAAUGGUCUUCAGCGC